AGUGUUAGCAUAGCCGAGCCUAUGUAGCCAAGCAAGUCAGUCAAGCAUGGAUAGCAGGCGUCGGCGGUCGAAAGUGUGGCUUUAUUUUACUAAAAAAAAUUACAUAUCAGCGAAAUGUAACACAUGCGACAAGACUGUUUCGUGCUUAGGAGGGUGCAUGCCGAACAUGAUGAAGCACCUCCGAGUUCAUGGAGUACAAAUAAAUGUGUGUCCCGUCUUCGACGCGCUGCGCCGACCGUCCUCCUCUGCCUCUUCCUCUGGCUCCGACGCCCAGCCUGGCACCUCGGUGACUGCACUGCAGUCCGAAUCCGGCAAUUUACAACCUGCUAGCCAGGCUCCGCGAUGUGCUCAGCGUACUCCGUGCACCGUAGCGUCAAUGGGGAAGAUGUCGGUGCCACAAACGGAAGAGUGGCACAGAAAGGGAUAUGGUGAAAACUCUCAACCUAAAAUACGUACCACCUUCCAGGGACUACCUGUCAAACACAUUGAUGGUACAAGAAGAAUCGGAAUUGAGAAUCGUCAGGAAUCGGAAUCGAAUCAAAGAAUCCGAAUCGUUCGAAUUCAAACGAUACCCAACCCUAAUUGUAGGUAACAAAUACUUAAUUCAGAGUUAUUUGGUUAGGGUCAGGAUUAGGGUUAGCAGUGGUGAAUAUGUUCCCCAUACCAAAGUGUUACCGGCUUACUGGUUGUAUAAUUACCAUGAAUUGAUUUACGUGGACCCCAACUUAAACAAGUUGAAAAACUUUUACGGGUGUUACCAUUUAGUGGACAAUUGUAUGGAAUAUGUACUGAACUGUGCAAUCUACUAAUAAAAAUUUCAAUCAAUCAAUCAAUAAGGCCAUGCAGAAUAAUGACUAAUUAAGAGCCAAUAUGUUUCUAAUUUGCAUGUUAAUAAGAAACUAAUUAAUGGUGAAUAUGUUCCCCAUACUUAAGUGUUACCGAAAAAGAACAAUAACAUAAUGCACCAACACAUUAGAGUUGACAUGCUUCCAGGUAAAAGAAAGCACAAACACUCAAAGAUGCAUCAGUUAUUAUUUCAACACCGGGCUCCAACUACAGUAUUAGAAGCUGCCAGGUUAUUUUGAACUUACCAAGGAAAAUCAGUCCACUUGCACCAUCUUAUAUUCACCUUGUCUCUUUAUAUUCACCGCAAUCUACCAUCUCUGUCUUUCCACCACCAGCUGUUUCUCCCAGUGUAAGGCUUCUCUGUUUCAGGAUGCCCCACCUCUAAACCAGGACUCUCACAACCCUGUGUGUGUGUGCGUGCAUGUGUGUGUUUUUAUGCACGCUGUGACCCAAGAAAGGGGAGGGGAUCAAACUAUGUUCGGUUCGGCUUGAAGGGAAAGGGAUUACUGGCACACAGACACUGAUUAAAGCUUUCCAGCCUGCUAUGGCCCCAUUAAUACGAUCUUAAUCACAAUGCUUUAUCCCUCAAUCUAGCUUCUAUGGAUCAGGACCUUUUCAUUUUAGCGACGGCCACUGUUGUUUGGGCCGUGGCUUAAGUAUGCACCACACAGACCACAAAAAAAAAAGGCAAGCGGACGUGCAGUCCAUCAGAAAUUGUAAUGCUAUAUGGCUGUAUUAUUAUUAUUAUGAGGCAAAGAAAUAAAACUGGAAGCAUCACUGAGCGGCUUUGAGCAGAUAUUUGACAUGACCUCUGUCUCCCAGGGGGCUUUGCCACAAGUGACACUCUGCGGUCACCACAAAGAAACCAUUCAGCCUCUCACUGUUGUUCCGUCUAUAUAAAGCACUACCUGUACAGUGUAGUUGGAACUCAUUGGAAUUGUAAAGAAAAAAACAACUGCUGAGAUUAUUCUAACGAGCUGAAAUUCCACUUCAACAACUCUUGUUGGCAUUGACAGUAGGAUUGCUCGUUUGCAUCUCAACAGUUAUUUUUCUCACUACGAAACGGCGAAAUCAUCCUUUCCAACUUGGAGUACAAGUAUUUAAGUUUUUUUGCACCAGUAGAAGGCCAUGUCUACACUAAGCCGGAUAAACCCUUUAACGAAUACUUAUUUAGCCUAAACCCUGUUUCAGACACUUUAAACCAGCAUUUAAGAUAACCUUCCUUGGACAAUUCUUUACACAGAAAAGUGCGCCGUGUAUUUCUUGAAUCUCCGGCUCUUAGCUUUGUAUGGACUCAUUGAGCAUUAACAAACUGAGUUCGGACAGGAAGGGAAGUCAAAAAAACCACGCCCCACACAGAAAGUGACGUCAGAAAGAACGCGCCACAGCUAGCUUCAUAACAACCGGAGCUAACCACUGGAAAGAUGGAGGCAAGUCAUCCAGACAUACCCGUGUUUCUCAUUUUUGUACAUAUAUUGACACUUGUGGAAAUCACACAUGAAUACUUUAAGAGAAGAAAACGCGCAAUUGCAGCUAUUUUGGAUACAACUUAUCUCAGAAGGCAAGAGAACUUUCGAAUGUCCAGGUCAGCUGUGAUUGUACUUACCGAAAAAGUUUGUCCAUUUGUCGAAGGAGAGGCAACAAAAAUGUGGGCUCUCGUGGAUGUGAUAAAAAAUAAAGUAGCGUGUGCUUUUGUACUACCAAGGACAGCACACACCCUGGCUUCCACCUGUUCGACUUGCUACCAUCAGGCAGGCGCUACAGGUGCAUCGAAGCCAGAACAAAAAGGCUCAGAGACAGCUUCUUUCCCAAAGCUGUCACCAUGUUGAACUCUAACUUAAAAUAAUAAUAAUUCACCCCUACACAAUAUCAUGCCCUAAUACCCUACUGUGCAAUACUACCCUUCGAGUGCAAUACUUCCGACACUGAUUGUUAUUUAUACUUCGGCACUCUUGUCUUGUUCUGUAUAUUGUACAGUAUUUUGUAUUUCAAUAGUGUUUUGUAUAUUGUACAGGAUUUUGUAUUUCAAUAGUGUUUUGUAUAUUGUACAGGAUUGCUUAUUAUUUUUAUUGAAUAGUAGUCUGUUUAUUUCAAUUGUCAGUUUUUCCUUUUUACCUCUUAUGUCAUUUAUUUCACCCCAUAUUUGUUCCCACUACCACACCUUAAGUUGGAGUCUUUAAUCUCGUUAUAUGCAAAUAUAAUGACAAUAAAGUUCAUUCUAUUCUAUUCUAUUCUACCUGGCCGAGGAGAGAAGACUACGGAAAACAUCAAAUGCAUUUGGACUGGCAGAGCAGACUGUAUCAGUUAUUGUCUGCCAUGUGUUGCGGACUCAUCGUCUAGGGCAGUGGUUCUUAACCUUGUUGGAGGUACCGAACCCCACCAGUUUCAAAUGCGCAUUCACCGAACCCUUGUUUAGUGAAAAAUAAAAGGUUUUAUUUUUCAAAUUCAAGACAAAGUUGUAUGUUUUUGGUAACACUUUAAUACGGGGAACAUAUUCUAAGUAACAAAGACUUAAUUUAGAGUUAUUUGGACACUAGGGGAACAUAUUCUAAGUAAUAAAGACUUAAUUUAGAGUUAUUUGGUUAGGGUUGGGGUUAGGGUCAGGGUUAGAGGGUUAGGGUUCUAAUAAGGCCAUGCCGAAUAAGGCAUUAAUUGGUACCUAAUGACUAGUUAAGAGCCAAUAUGUUACUAAUUUGCAUGUUAAUAAGCAACUAAAUAAUGGUGAAUAUGUUCCCCAUACUAAAGUGUUACCAUGUUUUUUUUACUGGUGCACAAAAUGAACCGUGCAUGAACAUCACCUUGUUCAAAGAACAAAACCAACAGUGCAUAAACUCACAACAAAUUACACACCUGCAAAUUAAUCAGCUUUUGCCGUAUCCGUAAUAUGCCAACAGUAUUUGCACGAAGAGUUGGGUGUGUUUUGACCUCGGCCGAACCCCUGAGGUCAACUCACCGAACUCCUAGGGUUCGAUCGAACUCUGGUUAAGAACCAAUGGUCUAAGUCCAGUGUAUAAAAAGUCACAAAAAAGGAAUGGACAAUGAAGGUGAAGGUGAAAGAGUGAGGAGUGUCCUGACCAGAUAUCUGGAUCCCUAAACUGAUUAUUGUAAAAUGUGCUUUAGCAGAUUGUUUACGUGUCUAAUAAAGAUUGUAUUACUUUA